rnacentral:lncRNA from 1 species
UCCCAGAAUAGCUCUUUGUAAUAGUUAAGCUUUAUUUAAAAGAAUGUGGAGAACCUGGAAAUAGUCCAAAGAAGAAUAGGCAAAAUGAUUAAAGGGACAGGAAAUAAAUUAUCUCAGAAAAAGCUAGAGUGAGUUAAAAGGAGAAAGCAAUGGUAUUAUAUAACUGGUCUGAUUCACCAAACCUUCUUACAAAUAAAAGUUGGUGGCCUUGGGAAGUUAUACUGGAAAAGUCGGCACACACACUUGUGAACCACAAAGGAUGAAGGAAGUCUUCCAGGUCUACUUCCAACUCCUGAUUGCUCUAGCUUUUUUUCUGAUUUCUCAUAAAACUUAAAGUAUAAAUAAGAAAUGAGAAAUAGGUUGCAUUAUAUGACCUAAGUCUGAUUAACUGGUGGAAGUUGUUUUGAGAAUUAUGAAUUUUCAUUUCUACAAUGAUUAGGAUCUCCUUUUAAAAAAAAAUUGGUAGGAGAUUAACAUCACAUUCAGCUAUGACUCAUCAAGAGGCUAGAAUCUAUGAGAAUUCUGUGGCAGUUAGUUCCUGAGUCUUCCAAGGAAAAGCUUGGAAGACUAUCUCUCAAACACACGUCUUUAUUUUGGGAACAAGAUAUUCUGAUCACAGAAACUCUCAGCCAAGAACCAGCAAGAACAAUAAAAUAUUCUCCAUUUGCUUUCUGUAUUGGUCAGUGCCCAGCCAAGAAAACAAAAUUACUACACAAGAGAGGUAAAUACAAAUAUAUCAAGAUGAUAAAGAAGACCAUUAGAUACCCUUCAUUAACCAAGAAGAAAGUUUCUUACCUCAUCAGCAGCCUUACCAUCUACUUUACAGGGUUUUUGGACCAGAAUGGCAGCUACUCUGUGUGACACUACAGCAAAACGUAAGGCAGUUGUCAAAUGUUCAUCACCCACAUAUAUCCCUGGAUAUGAAAUUGAAGUCAAAUUUUAUGAGACUGUCACCUGACAGGAUUUAGGCAUUUUUGUUUACUUUUCCCAUCUUGUAUUGUCUAUAAUAGGAUAUAUGGAAGACUGUCUAUAAG